GUUAGUAUAGUUUAACAAAAACAUUAGGCCGUGGCCCUAAAAAUAGAAGUUCAUUUCUUUUUACAAAC
rnacentral:tRNA from 1 species